rnacentral:rRNA from 1 species
UACGUAGGGGGGCAAGCGUUGUCCGGAUUUAUUGGGCGUAAAGAGCGUGUAGGCGGCCACACAGGUCUGCUGUGAAAACUCGAGGCUCAACCUCGAGCUGUCGGUGGAAACCGUGUGGCUAGAGUCCGGAAGAGGAGAGUGGAAUUCCCGGUGUAGCGGUGAAAUGCGCAGAUAUCGGGAAGAACACCGGUGGCGAAGGCGGAUCUCUGGGCCAUUACUGACGCUGAGGAGCGAAAAGCGUGGGGGGAGCGAAACAGG